GGAAUCUUCCACAAUGGGCGAAAGCCUGAUGGAGCAACGCCGCGUGUGUGAUGAAGGGUUUCGGCUCGUAAAGCACUGUUGUAAGAGAAGAAUGACAUUGAGAGUAACUGUUCAAUGUGUGACGGUAUCUUACCAGAAAGGAACGGCUAAAUACGUGCCAG
rnacentral:rRNA from 1 species